rnacentral:lncRNA from 1 species
CUAGGUUCACUAGGUUCGGGAUGCCUCCUCUUUCUUCUCAAAUCACGUUCAAAAUCGUCGUUGAAAUCAAAGAUGUGUGCAUGCACAGUUUGAGAACUCCGCGUCAUGCACUAGUACCUAAACCAAGAAAACAAAACAAAAUCAGAAAACUAAGUAAAUUAUACUAAAACACACGGCAAAAACACAAGGGAUUAGCAAUUUUGCUAAUCCCCGGCAACGGCGCCAAAAUUUGAUGUGA